rnacentral:rRNA from 1 species
GACGAACGCUGGCGGCGUGCUUAACACAUGCAAGUCGAACGGAAAGGCCCUGCUUUUGUGGGGUGCUCGAGUGGCGAACGGGUGAGUAACACGUGAGUAACCUGCCCUUGACUUUGGGAUAACUUCAGGAAACUGGGGCUAAUACCGGAUAGGAGCUCCUGCUGCAUGGUGGGGGUUGGAAAGUUUUGGUGGUUGGGGAUGGACACGCGGCUUUUCAGGUUGUUGGUGGGGUAGUAGCUUACCAAGGCUUGGACGGGUUGCCGGCCUGCGAGGGUGACCGGCCACAUUAGAACUGUGCUACGGCCCAGACUCCACCUGGCGGCAGCAGUGGGGAAUAUUACACAAUAGGCGGAAGCGAGUGGCAGCAACGUCGCGAGCGGGAGGACGUCCUUCGGGUUGUAAACCGCUUUCGCCUGAGACGAAGAGUGACUGACGGUAAUGGGUAAAGAAGCACCGGCUAACUACGUG